rnacentral:rRNA from 1 species
GAUGAACGCUAGCGGCAGGCCUAAUACAUGCAAGUCAAGGGGGCAGCAAUGUCACCGGCGUACGGGUGCGUAACGCGUACAGAACGUGCCCUUGGGUGGGGGAUAGCAUUGGGAAACUGGUGGUAAGACCCCAUGGUGUUGAGAUCUGGCAUCAGAUUUCAACUAAGGAAACGCCCAAGGAUCGCUGUGCGUCUGAUUAGGUAGUUGGUAGGGUAACGGCCUACCAAGCCUACGAUCAGUAGGGGGUGUGAGAGCAUGACCCCCACAUGGGUACUGAGACACGGACCCAACUCCUACGGGAGGCAGCAGUAAGGAAUAUUGGACAAUGGACGGAAGUCUGGAUCCAGCCAGUGCCGCGUGGAGGGAUCGAAGGCCCUCUGGGUUGUAAACUUCUUUUAUAUGGGACGAAAAAGGGUCUUUCUAGAUCAACUGACGGUACCAUGUGAAUAAGCACCGGCUAACUCCGUG